rnacentral:rRNA from 1 species
UACAGAGGUCCCGAGCGUUGUUCGGAUUCACUGGGCGUAAAGGGUGCGUCGGUGGUGAGGUAAGUCGGAUGUGAAAUCUCCGGGCUCAACCCGGAAAUGGCAUUGGAAACUACCUUGCUGGAGGAUUUGAGGGGGGAUUGGAAUACUUGGUGUAGCAGUGAAAUGCGUAGAUAUCAAGUGGAACACCAGUGGCGAAGGCGAAUCCCUGGAAAAUACCUGACACUGAGGCACGAAAGCUAGGGGAGCAAACAGG